CUAGGGAGAAGACCCAUCCCCUG
rnacentral:miRNA from 1 species